UUGUUCGAUCAAGGUCGACCUCUUCUUUUUGGUGAAGGCCCUUGGCCUUAAAGGGUGUUAUUUCGAACUUGUCAAAAUACUGACCCAUCGUCAUUCGAUCAAGGUAGAACUCUUCUUUUUGGCGAAGGACCUUGGCCUUAAAGGGUAUUAUUUCCAACUUGUCAAAAUAUUAACCCGUCGUCAUUCGAUCAAGGUUGAACUCUUCUUGGCCUUAAAGGGUGUUAUUUCGAACUUUUAGAAAUACUAACCCGUCGUCCUUCGAUCAAGGUUGAACUCUUCUUUUUGGCGAAGGCCCUUGGCCUUAAGGGGUGUUAUUUCAAACUUGUCAAAAUACUGACCCGUCAUCGUUCGAUCAAAGUCGAACUCUUCUUUUUUGGCGAAGGCCCAUGGCCUUAAAGGGUGUUAUUUCGAACUUGUCCAAAUAUUAGCACGUCGUCGUUCGAUCAAGGUCGAACUCUUCUUUUUGGUGAAGGCCCUUGGCCUUAAAGGGUGUUAUUUCGAACGUUUCAAAAUAUUAACCCGUCAUCGUUCGAUCAAGGUCGAACUCUUCUUUUUGGCGAAGGCCCUUGGCCUUAAAGGGUUUUAUUUCAAACUUUUCGUAAUAUUAACCCGUCGUUAUUCGAUCAUGGUCAAACUAUUCUUUUUGGCGAAAGACCUUGUCCUUAAAGGGUGUUAUUUUGAACUUUUCAAAAUAUUAACCCGUCUUCGUUCGAUCAAGGUCGACCUCUACUUUUCGGCGAAGGCCCUUGUCCUUAAAGGGUGUUAUUUCGAACUUGUCAAAAUACUUACCCAUCGUCAUUCGAUCAAGGGAGAACUCUUCUUUUUGGCGAAGGCCCUUGGCCUUAAAGGGUAUUAUUUUGAACUUUUUGAAAUAUUAACCCGUCAUCGUUUGAUCAAGGUCGAACUUUUCUUUUUGGCGAAGUCCCUCAGCCUUAAAUUGUGUUAUUACGAGUUUGUCGAAAUACUGACCCGUCAUCGUUCGAUCAAGGUUUAACUCUUCUUUUCUGUGAAGGCCCUUGGCCUUAACUGGUGUUAUUUUGAACUUGUCGAAAUAUUAACCCGUCGUCGUUCAAUCAAGGUCGAACUCUUCUUUUUGGAAAAUGCCCUUGGCCUUAAAAAGGGUUAUUUCGAACUUGUCGAAAUACAGAACCGUCAAUGUUCGAUCAAGGUCAAACUCUUCUUUUUAGCGAAGGCCCUAAGGCUUAAAGGGUGUUAUUUCGAGCAUGUCAAAAUAUUAA
rnacentral:lncRNA from 1 species